ensembl:snRNA U6 U6 spliceosomal RNA
CAGCUUCAGCAGCAUAUAUACUAAAAUUGGAAUGACACAGGGAAUGUUAACAUGGCCCCUGCACAAGGAUGACAUACAAAUUCAUGAAACUUUCCAUAUUUUU